rnacentral:rRNA from 1 species
ACACGACUACAUUAGAUACCCGUGUAGUCCUAGCCGUAAACGAUACUCGCUAGGUGUCGGCCACGGUGUGACCGUUGUCGGUGCCGUAGGGAAGCCGUGAAGCGAGCCACCUGGGGAGUACGGUCGCAAGGCUGAAACUUAAAGGAAUUGGCGGGGAGCACCACAAGAGGUGGAGGCUGCGGUUCAAUUGGACUCAACGCCGGAAACUCAUCGGGAGCGACAGCAGUAUGAUUGCCAGGUUGAUGACCUUGCUUGACAAGCUG